rnacentral:rRNA from 2 species
GGAUGCGAUCAUACCAGCACUGAAGCACCGGAUCCCAUUAGAACUCCGAAGUUAAGCGUGCUUGGGCGAGAGUAGUACUAGGAUGGGUGACCUCUUGGGAAGUCCUCAUGUUGCAUUCC